ACCUCCUUCCAUUACCUCAGCUUGGUAGUGGCAUAGUGAUGUCGCCCGAUCAAAAGUUCUGAUCAACGCAUGGUGAUGCGGGAUGGAAGG
rnacentral:tRNA from 1 species